AUUGAACGCUGGCGGCAUGCCUAACACAUGCAAGUCGAACGGUAACAGGCCCUUCGGGUGCUGACGAGUGGCGGAUGGGUGAGUAAUACUUAGGAAUCGUACCCUGUAGUGGGGGACAACCCGGGGAGACUCGGGCUAAUACCGCAUACGCUCUACGGGAGGAAAGCGGGGGACCGCAAGGCCUCGCGCUAUUGGAUGAGCCUAAGCCCGAUUAGCUAGUUGGUGGGGUAAUAGCCACCAAGGCAAUGAUCGGUAGCUGGUCUGAGAGGACGACCAGCCACACUGGGACUGAGACACGGCCCAGAC
rnacentral:rRNA from 1 species